AUGAACGCUGGCGGCGUGCCUAAUACCUGCCAGUCGAGCGAACAGACGAGGAGCUUGCUCCUCUAACGUUAGCGGCGGACGGGUGAGUAACACGUGGAUAACCUACCUAUAAGACUGGGAUAACUUCGGGAAACCGGAGCUAAUACCGGAUAAUAUAUUGAACCGCAUGGUUCAAUAGUGAAAGACGGUUUUGCUGUCACUUAUAGAUGGAUCCGCGCCGCAUUAGCUAGUUGGUAAGGUAACAGCUUACCAAGGCAACGAUGCGUAGCCGACCUGAGAGGGUGAUCGGCCACACUGGAACUGAGACACGGUCCAGACUCCUACGGGAGGCAGCAGUAGGGAAUCUUCCGCAAUGGGCGAAAGCCUGACGGAGCAACGCCGCGUGAGUGAUGAAGGUCUUCGGAUCGUAAAACUCUGUUAUUAGGGAAGAACAAAUGUGUAAGUAACUAUGCACGUCUUGACGGUACCUAAUCAGAAAGCCACGGCUAACUACGUG
rnacentral:rRNA from 1 species